rnacentral:rRNA from 1 species
CGCAGCCGCGGUAAUACGAAGGGGGCUAGCGUUGUUCGGAAUUACUGGGCGUAAAGGGCGCGUAGGCGGCCAUUCAAGUUAGAUGUGAAAGCCCUGGGCUCAACCUAGGAAUUGCAUUUGAUACUGUUUGGCUUGAGUUCGGGAGAGGUGAGUGGAAUUCCCAGUGUAGAGGUGAAAUUCGUAGAUAUUGGGAAGAACAUCAGUGGCGAAGGCGGCCAUCUGGGACAACACUGACGCUGAGGCACGAAAGCGUGGGGAGCAAACAGGAUUAGAUACCCCGGUAGUCCCUGUCUCUUAUACA